rnacentral:rRNA from 1 species
AUGGGUUUAAAGUUUCAAGACAGAGAUAACCCAUCUAGCUCUUCUAGAGAUCCGAAUGAUCGUAGUAUUUGGGACUUAAUCUGGAAAGCCAAAGUGCCUGGGAAGGUCCGCAUCUUUGGCUGGAAGAUUGCCACAAGCACUCUCGCCACCAGAAAGAAUAAGUGGAAGAGAACCAUUGAGCUUGAUGCCACUUGCAAUAUUUGUGGUAACGGAAUCGAAGACGAAUAUCAUGCUGUCGUAGCGUGCACAAAGAGUAGAGCUCUGCGCUUGGCUUUACGGAAGAAGUGGGGUUUACCUGCAGAGGACAGGUUCAGAUAUACUGGAGAUGACUGGCUGCAAAUACUGCUUGACACUGAAUCUAAGGAUAUGCGUGCAAAAAUCCUCUUGUUGUUAUGGCGUUGCUGGUACUUAAGGGAGGACUGCAUCAGAGGACCAGGCAAGGAACCUAUAUUGGUUUCAGUGCAGUUCUUGAUGAAGUACGAGGAGGAGCUUCGAACCUGCGGGCUGACUACUGAAUCUUAUCAGGGGAAGUGUGGACAGGGCCUGGCGGCCCCCCAGGACCAAACCACGGUGGCGCUGAACAACAAGUGGAGUCCACCUGACCGGGGCACAAUCAAAAUUAACACAGAUGCAUCUUUUAUCGCAGAGACGGGAAGCAGUUCUGCAGGUGCGAUAGCAAGGGACUUCAGAGGCCGUGUAUAUCUCUCGGUCUAUAAGUUGUUGCCGUCUUGCAGUAGUGUGGAAGAGGCAGAAGCCCGGGCAAUUUUGGUUGGCCUGCAAACAUGGCUGAUUACCAUAGAGGUCCGAUCAGUCUUGAAACUGACUGCCAAACCAUUGCCAAAGAACUGUCUGAUGACCAGAAAUCACGCUCGGCCUGCUAUGGCCUGCUUGUGGAUAUCAAAAACACCUUGA